AAAGAAGUUUCACUUCAAAAAUACAUAUCCAUAUGUAAUAAAUUCAUAUACAUAUAUUGCAUAUUAUGCGUUGAAUAUUAUUGGUACAAACAUUUUUUUACUUACAGAUUCAGACUUUGAGAGUAACCCAAUACCGCCAUUAAGGUUUAACAGAAAUGAUUCAAGUAGACAACUGAACCAACAGUCUUGCAGCACUUCAGAUGCCCAGGCAGUAUUUAAAACGUCUUUGCCAAAGAUGCAUGUUAUGCGAAAUAAAAACAACGGCACUUUUGAACAAUUGCAUGAAAAAUUUCGACAAAUAGUUAUGAAAAACGUACUUGAGUACAGGACGCAACAACUGCAAAAAUCUCAACUACUUAUUGAAUUGUGACUUUCAAAAGUACAUAUAAAUAUUCAGACUUUGAGAGUAACCCAAUACCGCCAUUAAGGUUUAACAGAAAUGAUUCAAGUAGACAACUGAACCAACAGUCUUGCAGCACUUCAGAUGCCCAGGCAGUAUUUAAAACGUCUUUGCCAAAGAUGCAUGUUAUGCGAAAUAAAAACAACGGCACUUUUGAACAAUUGCAUGAAAAUUUUCGACAAAUAGUUAUGAAAGACGUACUUGAGUACAGGACGCAACAACUGCAAAAAUCUCAACUACUUAUUGAAUUGUGACUUUCAAAAGUACAUAUAAAUGUAAAUGCAAUAACAAUAUAAAUUAUAGAAAUAAAAAAAUAUGUGCACAUACAUUGCAGAGAA